rnacentral:lncRNA from 1 species
GUUAUCACCUGUACUGCAGGGAUGGAACGUAAAUCACAUUAAAUUGAGGUUGUGGUGGCAGCUGUAGAGAGGUAUUUGGGUGUGCGAUACUUGACACCAGAAGAGUUACAUGGUGUGAUAAGUGGUGGUGUCCCAUCCUUUCAUGUUUUUGGCCUGAGGUAGGGCUAAAUCAAUGUAAAUAGUGGAGUAGGGUGGUGUUAUUAUGAUGAAAUUGUGAGUGUAGUGUUAAAAAUAGAAUGUAGGGUAUUUGUUUAUUUAUAACUUUUUUAAGCAAAGUAUAAGGGAGGUGGCAGUAGGUGGCGGUAAUGCAACAUUUAUUGGAUGCCGACUGCCGUUAAACCUCAUCGAAGAAGACGGAAAGGAAGAGGAAAAGAGAGGAUCAACUCGGCGGCAAAUCUGUCUCCCCCAGCAGCCAUGACUCUGAGCAUGUCUCCGGCUGCGGUGUGCCAGUGCUUUACGCUGGUGUCACUGUGCACAUCCAUCGCCGACCCAAACUGGAUCCAAGUCAUCAACAACACUGACCCCGGAGGCAAACAGCUCAUCUAUGGUGUGGCUUUCAUACUGCAUGCGCCCCAGAACCUCACUGACACAGGUCCCCUGGGUGGCAUAAAUGGCUGGGGGGUGUGGCUGCUCUAUGCCCUGGCGGCUCUGUGCUACAGUGCUGUCCUGCUCUCCAGCUCCUCCUUCCUAUUGGACUUCCUGGGGACUGGGAUGUCCCACCCUCGACUGGUGGUGUUACUCCACAUCUCCACAGUGGUUCUCCUCCUGUCUGUUCUGGGAGUUUGUGGGGCCUGCCUGUACAUCAUCCACUGCAACCUUCAGGAGGGCAAGUUUGGGCCACUGUGGGAAUGGGUAGGGGGCUGGACCUGGCCUGGGUCUGGCUCCAGGAGCCAGGGAGGGGCGGCGGGGAUGAAGCCUUACCCAGGGGAGAGCUUCUACAUCACCAUGCUGGGCCUGCUCUUCUCCUGCCUGGCCGGUGUGAGCAGCCUGGGGGACCCCACCUCCACCCAGAGGGACUACACAGCUGUGGUGGAGUGGGACGACAGUGACACAGAGCCCCUUACCCCCAGGGAGCAGGGAGUGGGACAGUCUGAUGAAGAGGAGGGGGUAGGAGACGUGUUGCCUGAACUGACUCAGGGGGAGGUGGGUGGAAGUGGAGACUGCUAAAGGGGUUUGAAUGUGUGGCCCAAAAGGCUUAGUUUCGGACUAGAAUGCAAACCACACCACACAUGGCCUGUAACAGACUUAAUUAGACAGCAGUGCUGGCGCCUUCCCUGGUCAUGUUUUGAAUUCCUAAAGCUUCACUGGACCAAGCUGGUGGAAUCCAGUCAGGAGCCAAAAAAGAGACCAGAUACGUUUCCUAAUGUUGUUUUAAUGUUUGUCUGCCUAAAACAUGCCUUCUCGGGGUAUGUACAGUUGCACAACAUCAAGUCAAUAACCCAUUUAUGGGUUUAAAAAAAAAAAUCCCUUGUGGGAGUUUAUGCCCAGCGUCUCACACUUGACUCCACCAAUAUAAAUCGUUCUUUGGCUAGCUGUGAUAUUUGGAAAAGUGUGACAAGAAUGUAACGCGGUUAAGCUAUUUCUGUCUGUGUGUGACCAGGGAAAGUGAGAGUCUGUAUGUUAUAAUCGAUGUGUGACACAAAUUAUAUGCCCUUCCUGCUCAUCAAUGGGAACAAGCUUUGACCCUGUUCACAUUACUGCAAAAUAACCACUGGGGAAUGUUCCGGAUCAGCGAAUGGUUUGUUACCAUCAGAACCAGAAAAUAUGUUCAAUGAACAGAAGUUCAGACUGCUCAACAUUGCGAUCCUAACAUAGCUCAUGUUUGUACAAUCACCUAGUCUCCUCUUCUAGUUAACAUAAAAAUCCCUAGAUUAAGGUUUUUCUGAUUCUUUUAACAGGUUGUUUUUUAACCUAUGCAUUAUUUUAACUUCUUAAACCCUUUGCACAGUCUUCCAUAGUGACACUUUAAGUUUCCCAAAUGGUGGAAACAAAUCACAGAUUUCUAUGGAAGAUUUACCUGAAGUGUACUGAAACUGGAGUUUCCUUUGAGAAAUUCAAUUUAAAAAGCCCAUUUUGGCUUCUAUUAUGGCCGCUAUAGCUUUAAUCACAAAUUGAGGAACUAUAUAUUAGCAUGGUUGUUUACUACAAUAGGAAAGAUUGAGUGGGGAUAGGAAGUCUUUCCUUUCCACAGUAGGUAGUGUAAAUACAUGGUUCUUGCUUUAAAUGACUUGCUAUCUAAUCAUAUUUGAAUAUGACGUAUUAAAUAUUUGAUGUACUUAAAUAUUUGUUUCAUAAAAUGACACUGCUAUUGGUCACUAGAUACUUCAGAUCACUGUGAAAAUAUAUCCCGGUUUGGCAUCUUUAGACGUCUACAUUACAGCACAAACCACUGUAUGUAUGCUUAUCCUACUUGAAGGUAACCAAUAAGACAAGCUACUUGAUGGUGCUUGGUUGCAUGUGAUGGUAGGACCAUGGAUAUUGACUUGAUAAAUUAAGAUGGCUGCCUAGAAUCAGGUUUUCCUUACCCGCUUAUACCCUCAAGGCCUGUUUCCUGGACAUAGAUUAAUCUUUGUCCUGGACUAGGAAACAUUUUCAAUGGAGAUUAUGUUUUUAGUUCAAGACUAGGCUUAAUAUGUGUCCGGGAAACCGUCAAUCUUUUCCUCAGGUACAUAGGAAGACAUUCCUUCUCUUAUUCCAGGGUCACAGUCCCAUCUCUAUGAAUCAGACUUCUCAUUGUUGUUGUUUAUGAUGCUAUUUAUUCAUUAAACUAUUUUUGCGUAUUUGUAAAACAUGUGUACAUGCAUUUUCUUUCUGUUCCAGAACAGAAGUGUCCAGUCCAGUUACUCUCAUUCCCACUCAUCUGCUGUAUGUGUUGGUGUCCGUCAUCUCUGCCUCCUAUAGGUUAAUUUCCAACCAACAUCAUCAGGAAAUGGUCUUCAUCCAAAACCACAAGAUGACCACACAUGACCAGAACUGUCCCACAUCUUUCCCGAAGUCUUUCUGAAUGCAUAGGUAGGUUUUAGGGUUAGCCAGGCAGGACUCGCUGUGAACAUGAUGUCCCCUCUGUCAGCAAGCAAUGACUUCAGCAGACAAACCACUCCUUGCUUCCUCUACUGUCACGACUCCACUCCCGUCUCCCAUUGGAUGAAAACCAUUGCCAUAGUAACCUUGACAAAUUGUUGAUGUUGCCAGUGAAUUUGUGAAUGAGAGAUAAGAAAGGAGAGAAGCAGGGGAGAGUCAAAGAGCCUAUUUUAGUGGUGGUGUUGCGCCGAUGGGUAACUGAGUGUGUGUGUGUGAGUCUGAGCCUGUAUGUACAGUCUGAGCCUGUAGGUACAAUUGGAAGUAUACAUACACUUAGGUUGGAAUCAUUAAAACUUGUUUUUAAACCACUCCACAAAUUUCUUGUUAACAAGCUAUAGUUUUAGCAAGUUGGUUAGAACAUCUACUUUGUGCAUGAUACAAGUAAUUUUUCCAACAAUUGUUUACAGACAGAUUAUUUCACUUAUAAUUCACUGUAUCACAAUUCCAGUGGGUCAGAAGUGUAUAUACACUAAGUUGACUGUGCCUUUAAACAGCUUGGAAAAUUCCAGAAAAUUAUGUAAUGGCUUUAGAAGCUUCUGAUGAGCUUAUUGACAUCAUUUGAGUCAAUUGAAGGUGUACCUGUGGAUGUAUUUCAAGGCCUACCUUCAAACUCAGUGCCUCUGCUUGACAUCAUGGAAAAUCCAAAGAAAUCAGCCAAGACCUCAGGAAAAAAAUUGGAGACCUCCACAAGUCUGGUUCAAGAUUGGGAGCAAUUUCCAAACGCCUGAAGGUACCACAUUCAUCUGUACAAACAGUAGUACGCAAGUAUAAACACCAUGGGAACACGCAGCAGUCAUACCACUCAGGAAGAAGACGCGUUCUGUCUCCUAGAGAUCACCGUGCUUUGGUGCGAAAAGUGCAAAUCAAUCCGAGAACAACAGCAAAGGACCUUGUGAAGAUGCUGGAGGAAACAGGUACAAAAGUAUCUAUAUCCCCAAUAAAACGAGUCCUAUAUCGACAUAACCUGAAAGGCCGCUCAGCAAGGAAGAAGCCACUGCUCCAAAGCCCCAAUAAAAAAGUCAGACUACGGUUUGCAGCUGCACAUGGGGACAAAGAUCGUACUUUUUGGAGAAAUGUCCUCUGGUCUGAUGAAUCAAAAAUAGAACUUUGGCCAUAAUGACCAUCGUUAUGUUUGGAGGAAAAAGGGGGAGGCUUGCAAGCCGAAGAACCCAACCGUGAAGCACGGGAGUGGCAGCAUCAUGUUGUGGGGGUGCUUUGCUGUAGGAGGGACUGGUGCACUUCACAAAAUAGAUGGCAUCAUGAGGGAGGAAAAUGAUGUGGAUAUAUUGAAGCAACAUAUCAAGACAUCAGUCAGGAAGUUAAAGCUUGGUCGCAAAUGGGUCUUACAAAUGGACAAUGACCCCAAGCAUUCUUCCAAAGUUGUGGCAAAAUGGCUUAAGGACAACAAAGUCAAGGUAUUGGAGUGGCCAUCACAAAGCCCUGAUCUCAAUCCUAUAGAAAAUAUGUGGGCAGAACUGAAAAAGGGUGUGUGAGCAAGGAGGCCUACAAACCUGACUCAGUUACACCAGCUCUUGUCAGGAGCAAUGGGCCAAAAUUGACCCAACUUAUUGUGGAAUGCUUGUGGAAGGCUACCCAAAAUGUUUGACCCAAGUUAAACAAUUUAAAGGCAAUGCUACCAAAUACUAAUUGAGUAUAUGUAAACUUCUGACCAACUGGGAAUGUGAUGAAAGAAAUAAAAGCUGAAAUAAAUCAUUCUCUCUACUAUUAUUCUGACAUUUCACGUUCUUAAAAUAAACUGGUGAUUCUAACUGACCUAAGACAGGGAAUCUUUACUCGGAUUAAAUGUCAGGGAUUGUGAAAAACUGAGUUUAAAUGUAUUUGGCUAAGGUGUAUGUAAACUUCUGACUUCAACUGUACAUGUGUGAAUAUGUUAGCACUGGUUUACUGUACUAAAAUGUACCUGAAGGAACAUAUUUUCAUGUAAAUAGUCUGGAAUUUGGUGCAUUUCCAAAACAACAUGACUGCAGAAAACCCUUAGUUGCCCAUGAGAACUUCUCUUAUCCUCUCUGAGACACAACUCUUAAGACCGUUAUUACCCUGCAGAGGUAGUGGGGGAUGGGCUUUCCAUUGUUUAAAGACACUGCCCCUCAACUUUCACACCUCUAAAGUUAAGGGGCAGUGUCUUUAAACAAUGGAAAGCCCAUCUCCCCACUACCUCUGCAGGGUAAUAACGGUCUUAACGCUUCGAACACACCAAUUGCAUCACUGCUGCAUAACAUUUUGCGCAGCUAGGCAACUAUACUGCUGCAGGUAUCUUUUGCAGAUGGUCGCAAGUGGUUGGACACAUAGAGGAGAGAAUCAUUUUCGCAGUAUCCUCAAAACCCUGUCUUUUUGACACAACUGCUGACAGCUACAGGGACAUAAACACAAAAAAUGCUGCUUGGAGACAAGUGUCCACGAUAGUAGGAUUGCCAGAAGAAGAUUUUAGGAGGAAGUGGAGAGGACUCAGGUAUCAGAGAGAGAGAAGGGCAGAGAAAGAGAGGAAGAGUUCUGGGUCAGCAGCUUCAGGCCAGCAGCCUUGGCGCUUCUGCGACAGUUUUUUUUCUGGAUCCAUUUAUUGUGCCUAUGGCAACGAGUGGCAAUUUUACAGCCAGACCCUCUACUAUGUCAUCCACAAGUGUUGUCCCCACCGGUGUAUCAAGACCCUCAACGUCAUCUACAAGUGCGACCAUCGCCUCCACCGGUGCAGCGAGACACUCUACAACAUCUACAUCAUCCACAAAUAUGACCACCACCGGUGCAGCCAUGGAAGAUGAUGAAAUGGAGAAAGCACCUCUGGAUCUAGGACCACCUGAGAUUAUUAUGAACGUCACGGAAGUGACCACUGAGGACCUCGUUGAACAGGAUGUGGCCAUGGAGACAAACGAGGAGAGAAACAGAGAGAGAAACAUGGAGAGAAACGAAGAGGAACAACGUCACACCAGGCGUCAUCGGAGGUACCAGCCCCCAGAUCCACUCAACUCAUUUCAGCAGAGGCUCUUCCAAGCUGUCGAGAGGGAUGCAUCCCAACCUGAUGCUCACAGGAAGGAGGAUGAAGAGACCCUCUUUGCCAUGAGUCUGGUGCCAACACUGAAGAGGCUGCCUCAGCAAAGAAAAGCAGCAGUCAAGGUUAAAAUGUAUCAGCUACUUUUCGAAGCUGAGUUCAGUGGUAAAAAAGAAAAUUCUCUACAUCACAGAGAUGGAGUCAAUUUAGCCGAGCAGCUCACAGGAAGGACAGGAAGAGGAGAGGAGUUGUCUGGUUGUUGUUUUGACCUCCCUCAUUAUACCUUUCCUUUCACACACGUCUGUUCUGUUUAAAUUCAGUCAAUUCAUAAAGUCAUUUGUUUCUAAAGUCUUAGGAUAGCAUUCAUUAUUAGUGUUACAUAGAUUUCUGAAUUGACAGAAUUGAAACUCAUACACCGGAGAAUUCAGAUGCUCUUGUUGGUCUCUUACAAGACUAAAGGUCAAUAUAUUUCUUUCAUUUAAAACCACUUGAAAACCAGGGUGUUGAAACUGUUUGUGAAGUUAGAUUCCAUCGACUGGUCCAUGACGUCCAAGGGCCAUUUGUUUGUUUAGCUGUGUUAUGGCUACACAUUAUUUAUUUAUUUUCAGAGACAGAGACACACACACACCUCUCCUCCACUCCUCUCUGUACCUCAGAUCUCCAGUGUCCUGCCCUUUCUCUCUUUAUGGCCAUGUCUGCAGUUCCCCUACUACGUCUAGGCUUUAUGAGUAGUCCCUGUAUCUGUCUGCAGUUCCUCUACUACGUCUAGGCUUUAUGAGUAGUCCCUGUAUCUGUCUGAAGUUCCCCUACUACGUCUAGGCUUUAUGAGUAGUCCCUGUAUCUGUCUGCAGUUCCCCUACUACGUCUAGGCUUUAUGAGUAGUCCCUGUAUCUGUCUGCAGUUCCUCUACUACGUCUAGGCUUUAUGAGUAGUCCCUGUAUCUGUCUGCAGUUCCCCUACUACGUCUAGGCUUUAUGAGUAGUCCCUGUAUCUGUCUGCAGUUCCCCUACUAUGUCUAGGCUUUAUGAGUAGUCCCUGUAUCUGUCUGAAGUUCCCCUACUACGUCUAGGCUUUAUGAGUAGUCCCUGUAUCUGUCUGAAGUUCCCCUACUACGUCUAGGCUUUAUGAGUAGUCCCUGUAUCUCUCUGCAGUUCCCCUAUUACGUCUAGGCUUUAUGAGUAGUCCCUGUAUCUCUCUGCAGUUCCCCUACUACGUCUAGGCUUUAUCAGUAGUCCCUGUAUCUCUCUGCAGUUGUGCCAAAAAUACAUGCUCUUGUUGUUCUCUUCCAGAUUACACAUUCAUUUUUUAAAUUUUUUACACGCACACCUCUUUCAAUAGUUUUACGUUUUUAAACAUUUUUACAACACAAAUACCUGUCAUGUUCUUUCCUGUACUUGAU